rnacentral:lncRNA from 1 species
GUAACUUUAGUAGGGAUGAGUGACUGUAUAUUAACAGUGUGUAAAGCUCCUCAGAGGGGAUUCCUGGGUGGCUCAGCGGUUUAGCGCCUGCCUUCGGCCCAGGGCAUGAUCCUGGAGUCCCGGGAUCGAGUCCCACAUCAGGCUCCCUGCAUGGAGCCCGCCUGUGUCUCUGCGUCUCUUUCUCUCUGUGUCUCUCAUGAAUAAAUAAAAUCUUAAAAAAAAAAAAAAAAGCUCCUCAGACAUUCCAUUAGAGGUACCACUAAAAAUGCAAAUCCCAUUAGGUAGACUUGAUUUCGGAGGCUUAAGAUUUUGUAUAGUGAUCUAGUAAUUCUGUAUGAAAUGAAGAAAUUAAUAUUAUGAGAGGGUGGAGAAACUGAUGAGUGGUUGGUUGAGUUGUUUUUUGAAGUAAGGGAGAUGGCAGUGGCUACCCAUAGGGGCAAGAGGAAGCACCUUGGGUAUGCACAGGGAAGAUGCUUUGUACAUAUCUCUGCAAUUCUUGGUAGGUAGAGUACAGUGGUACAGCCUAGUCUGUUUCUGUACUUGGGAAGAAAAUAGGUGUCCCCAUCUGAGAUCGCUUACAGUACUAUAAUGCGUAAAGUGUGACAGGAUCCCUCUUCACAUCUUGACCAGGACAAGACACGUAGCCACCCCCCUUUCUGGCAGGCACAAAUGGAACCAAGAUGACAGAAGAGGGCCUUUCGAAAUGCAACACCAAUAAAGGCUCAAUGAAAGUGCUGCAUAUGCUUGAGAGUCUUUCAUGUACCAUCAUACAUUGUACUUGGGGCCGUGACUACAGAGGGGAUGUUAACGGCUUUCAAGGACCCUUCAGUGGGAAAGAAGAUUGUAUUUAAAAAUUAAAGUGCCAAAGAAUAAAGUGCUAAUGGGAAGGUAUGAAAACAGUUAAGGGAGCAGAGAGGAAUAUACAGCAGCCUCAGGUCCACAAUUUUGCAAAGUUCAGGCUGGAAUGCCAACUCCUAUAAGAUAAAAUUGACCUGACCUGGGUCAAGGACUCAGGCUCAGUUUGUGUGUUCUCUCCAGUUUGAUCACACUUGUGCCUCUGAAC